rnacentral:rRNA from 1 species
GAUGAACGCUGACAGAAUGCUUAACACAUCAGCCAUUGAUUGGUGGCGGACGGGGGAGUAACGCGUAAAGAACUUGCCUCACAGCAAGGGACAACAGUUGGAAACGAAUGCUAAUACCUAAGACUGUGAGAGAGCUGUGCGUCCCAUGAGCUAGUUGGAGAGGGAACGGCUCACCAAGGCGAUGAUGGGUAGCCGGCCUGGGAGGGUGAUCGGCCACAAGGGGACUGGGGCACGGCCCUUACUCAUACUGCGGGCAGCGGUGGGAAAUAUUGGACAAUAGGCCAAAGUCUGAUCCAGCUAUUCUGUGUGCACGAUGAUGUUUUCGGAAUGUAAAGUGCUUUCAGUUAGGAAGCGGUACCAACAGAAGAAGUGACGGCUAACUACGUGCCAGCAGCCGCGGUAAUAC